ACAAUAGUAAAGCUCUUAAAAACACAAAUGAUAGAAGGCACAGAUGGAACUGAGUACAGAAAAAUGAUUGGUUCACUACAAUACUUGGGACUCACACGUCCAGACAUUGCCUUUUCUAUGAAUAAACUUGCUCAAUACAUGCAAAACCCAAAAUCAAAUCAUUGGGCAGUAGUCAAACGUCUUCUAAGGUACCUCAAGCAAACUAUCUUCUAUGGUCUUCUCCUACAAAAAAAUGCAAAAUUUGAGCUCAAGAUGUAUAGCGAUGCAGGCUGGGCAUCAAAUACAGACACUCGGGUCUCUACAACAGCCUUCAUCACAUUUCUUGGAACAAGUCCCAUCUCAUGGUUAGCACAAAAGCAACGAGCAGUCGCCAAAUCUUCUACAGAAGCAGAAUUUCGUGCCCUGGCUACUGCUACAUUAGAAACUGUGUGGCUGCAUUCCCUUAUUGAAGAACUUGGACUCGAGCUUCAACAUGCGCCUCAACUGUUCUGUGAUAAUAUUGGAGCCAAUCAAUUCAGUCGUAAUUCUGUUCAACAUACAAGAAUGAAACAUAUGUGCAUCACAUUCACACUUUGGAUCAACUCCCUGAUCUUCUGACCAAAGCACUACCUCGGCAAAGAUUUCAAACUUUAAGGUCUAAGAUUGGCGUUGCAAAUGGCACCUCCAUCUUGAGGGGCAUAUAGAGGCAGAUACAAAUCACCAAAAUCUGCAUCAAGAUUGACGAUGUUUCAUUACACAAUCAAGUUUUUAUACACGUUUAACUUUCUCAUUAAUUGCUGAUUUGUAUAGCUCACAAAUAGAAAUGUUACUUGUAGCUAAUAGCUUAAAUUUAGGAACAAUUGUUAUUCAUUCAAUAUGUAUAUAUAUGUAAUCCAAUUGUCUAAUGAAAGUGUGUGAAAUAUUCUUCAAACCUUGCAUAUCUUUUCUUUAUAGAAAAGUUCUUUAACUUGCUUUCUCCGCCAGAUACACAAAUUUCCUCCACUGGUAAGUCGCCACUAUCUGAUGAAGUCGAGGUGGGCGAUUGCGACUUAGAGCAAGGUUUGAACUUGGACUCCAAUCUAAUUGACCUCAACCUUUCAAUUUUCAGAUUUUCCCGAGGAGCCUUUCGCCCUUUUGUAGCAUGUAAAGGGCUUACCUUACUUGACUUGGGUGUUAUUCUCGUACCUGUAACAUUUUUCGGUGAUCAAAACACUUCAUGAAUGAAAUUUUUCAGAAAAAUUAAUUAGAAUUGUGUGCGCAAUGUGUAUGUUUAUGGAGGUGUUGAAGGGAAACGUGUCGUGCAAAGGGGAAUAUUUGUUUGAUAAUGAGCAAAGAAGCGGCUGACGAUAUUUUUAGAGUGACACGUAAUUUUAGCGUGGCUGCUUUGGUGAAGGAGAGGUUUUCCGUAUUUCUUUUGUGGGAGCAGCUCUGCUACAUGUUAACGUGAUCUUUC
rnacentral:lncRNA from 1 species